rnacentral:tRNA from 1 species
GCCCCCAUAGCUCAGCUGGAUAGAGCAGCGGACUUCUAAUCCGCAGGUCCCAGGUUCGAAUCCUGGUGGGGGUG